CCUACGGGUGGCAGCAGUGGGGAAUAUUGCACAAUGGGGGGAACCCUGAUGCAGCGACGCCGCGUGAGUGAAGAAGUAUUUCGGUAUGUAAAGCUCUAUCAGCAGGGAAGAAAAUGACGAUACCUGCCUAAGAAGCCCCGGCUAACUACGGGCCAGCAGCCGCGGUAAUACGUAGGGGGCAAGCGUUAUCCGGAGUUACUGGGGGUAAAGGGAGCGUAGACGGUAAUGCAAGUCUGAAGUGAAAGCCCGAGGCUCAACCAUGGGACUGCUGUGGAAACUGUAAAACUGGAGUGCAGGAGAGGUAAGCGGAAUUCCUAGUGUAGCGGUGAAAUGCGUAGAUAUUAGGAGGAACACCAGUGGCGAAGGCGGCUUACUGGACUGUAACUGACGUUGAGGCUCGAAGGCGUGGGGAGCAAACAGGAUUAGAUACCCGAGUAGUC
rnacentral:rRNA from 1 species